CAAGAUUCUUUUUCUUUACUCUUUCUUCCCACUUUCAUUAUUCUCUAGGGUUGCAGAAGUGGAGGCGACUCCAUUUUCAUCUCCUCUUUGACCUUGUUCCAUUAUUUUACUAACUACCACGCUUUUACUACAUCACCACCAUCAUCCUCAAUUGUUGAUUUUGCUUGAUAAUCAAAUGGAUUCUUCAGCUUCCGUUGUUACUUUGGAUUCAGUUGUGACUAUGGAUGUGGAUCAAUCAACCCAGCAUCAACCCCUGCUACUGUGAUGUCCUAGGUCCCCUGACUGGAGAAGAUUGAUUAAGGGAGCUAAUGACAGCUAAUGGUGUUUGAUGAAUGGUGCUACUUGGAAGAACCUCUGGAAUAAUCUAUCCUAUUGGAGUUGUCACUUGCACAUUAGUUGAAGAAUACUUGGACUUUGCAUAUUAGUUGAAGAAUAAAACCUUAGUGAUAUCAUUUGUUCAUUCUUUAUUCAUUCAUUCUUUAUUCUUACAGAAGUAUCAAAACAGUUGAAUCUAGUUUGCUUUUAGUCUUGCUUUCAAUUUGCUUGAGAUUAUUAUCAGUUUGGUUAAGAGAUUGUUCAGUAGAUUAUUGAAUUUAUUAUUAUUAUUAGCAAAUUUCUUUUUAGUUUUUA